GUGAAUCCAUGGACACAUACAAAUUGAAUUAAAUUGUUAUUGAAUAAUGUAACAGACAGAAACAAUUUAAAAUACAACAAAAGUUUUUUGUAUCCAACAAGAAAAGGACAUCAUUUUAGCUUUUUACUGUAGGAUGCAAUUAUUCUAAUCUAGAAACUCUUGGCAUUCCUACUUUAAUAAAUUAACUUGUUUAGAUUCCAAAAAAAUUAAAAUAUUUAUUUGAAAUCACCAUUAUGAUCAGUUUUGAUGUGUAAUAAUUGAUGCAAUGAUAGCAUCCACAUGGACAACGGUGGUAUGCUUUUAUUCUAUUAUGGUGGGAGGGCAAAUUAGUAAAUAUGACUUCUUAAAUAUAUAUAUAUAUAAAUACAUUAUCCAAUUAAAGCCGGAAGAAAAGAAUCAUAUGGAAAAUGCUGUGUUUUUAGUAUUGUAAUCGAAUUAAGUCAUUUUCAAUUGCGAAAAGUAGUGCAUGGAUAGAAUUAUUAUCUAUUUUUGACUUGGUUUUUCAGGUACCCAUAUUUAGAAAAUCACAAUCCUAAUCAUGAAACUGACAUUAAAAUUAAAAAGACAGAGACAAAAAUUCUAAAUUAAAAGUUAAAAUUUGGGUUUGGAAGAAAAUAAUCAGAAUUUGAAUUUGAUGAAUAGUCAAUUUUAGAGGGAAAAUUUUUAUAUUGAAAAAUUACCUUUAAGGUGCUUCUUGUCGUGUGAUUUUUCAGGGUAGGCCCAAUCAUAGCAUCGGAUGCAGUAGACUUUUCCGACCACCUUAAAAACUAGGUGAUGGUGGUGUGGCGGGUAGUACGGUGGAGUGUAGGGCUUUGGAGGUGGAGAGUAGUAAACCGGUGGUGGUGGUGAUUUGUAGUAAGGUGGAGAGUAGGGAGGUGAGUAUGUUGGCGGUGGUGGAGAUUUGUAGUAAUAAACUGGUGGGGGUGAGUAAGUUGGUGGUGGUGGAGAUUUGUAGUAAUAGACUGGUGGGGGUGAGUAAGUUGGUGGUGGUGGUGAUUUGUAGUAGUAUGGUGGAGGAGGAGAUGGUGAUGGUGGGGGAGGGGACUUGUAGUAAUAUGGUGGAGGAGGUGAUGGAGAUGGGGGUGGUGGAGAUUUGUAGUAAUAUGGUGGAGGAGGAGAUGGCGAUGGUGGUGGAGGAGACUUGUAGUAAUAUGGUGGUGGUGGGGAUGGAGAAGGUGGUGGAGGAGAUUUGUAAUAAUAUGGUGGAGGAGGAGAGUAGACUGGAGGUGGGGGUGAUUUGUAGUAGUAUGGUGGUGGUGGGGAAGGAGAAGGUGGGGGUGGGGAUUUGUAGUAGUAUGGUGGAGGAGGUGAUGGUGAUGGUGGUGGGGGAGAUUUGUAGUAGUAUGGUGGAGGUGGUGAAGGAGAUGGUGGUGGUGGGGAUUUGUAGUAGUAUGGUGGAGGAGGUGAAGGUGAUGGUGGUGGUGGGGAUUUGUAGUAGUAUGGUGGAGGAGGUGAGGGUGAUGGUGGUGGUGGAGAUUUGUAGUAGUAUGGUGGAGGAGGUGAGGGUGAUGGUGGUGGAGGGGAUUUGUAGUAGUAUGGAGGAGGAGGUGACGGCGAUGGUGGUGGUGGAGAUUUGUAGUAGUAUGGAGGAGGAGGUGAAGGGGAUGGUGGUGGUGGAGAUUUGUAGUAGUAUGGAGGAGGAGGUGACGGGGAUGGUGGUGGUGGAGAUUUGUAGUAGUAUGGUGGAGGAGGUGAGGGUGAUGGUGGUGGUGGAGAUUUGUAGUAAUAUGGAGGAGGAGGUGAAGGAGAAGGUGGUGGUGGAGAUUUGUAGUAAUAUGGAGGAGGAGGUGAUGGGGAUGGUGGUGGAGGAGAUUUGUAGUAGUAUGGUGGAGGUGGUGAUGGUGAUGGUGGUGGGGGAGAUUUGUAGUAGUAUGGUGGAGGUGGUGAAGGAGAUGGUGGCGGAGGUGAUUUGUAAUAAUAGGGUGGAGGAGGGGAGGGUGAUGGUGGUGGUGGAGACUUGUAAUAGUAUGGUGGAGGAGGAGAGGGAGAAGGUGGUGGAGGAGAUUUGUACUCGUACACAGGAGGUGGAGGAGACUUAUACUCAG
rnacentral:lncRNA from 1 species